rnacentral:rRNA from 1 species
UACAGAGGGUGCAAACGUUGCUCGGAAUUAUUGGGCGUAAAGCGCGUGUAGGCGGCUUGUUAAGUUGGUUGUGAAAACCCAUGGCUCAACCAUGGAAGGGCGUCCAAAACUGGCAAGCUAGAGUCCCGACGAGGAUGGCGGAAUUCCCAGUGUAGAGGUGAAAUUCGUAGAUAUUGGGAGGAACACCGGUGGCAAAGGCGGCCAUCUGGGAGGGCACUGACGCUGAGACGCGAAAGCGUGGGGAGCAAACAGG